rnacentral:lncRNA from 1 species
AUAGAGACAAGGUCUCGCUAUGUUGCCCAGCCUGGGCUCGAGCAGUGCUCCUGCCUCACCCUCCCAAAGUGCUGGGAUUACAACAGGUGUGAACCAACACACCUGGCUCCCCAAGGUUCAGUUUUUAUCCUCCUCUUGGAGAGGUGAGUGACUUGAGGUCAUUUCUUCACAAGCUCCGGUAGGCACCCACAGUAUUGUCAAAGAGUUUUGUGUUAGGGAAGUGUCCAGUUUUGUCCAAGAGGAAAUAGAAGCGUCGGCCUUUGACUUUCAGAGGUAGCAUGGCAGGGACUUCACCCCGGUGGGCCAUGCAAGAUACCUGCUUCAAAGGAACUGUGAAAUGGGCCCCCAAGCCAAAGGGGGCAUGAGUGGUGAGGGUCACCUGCUGCCCUCCAGCUCGAAGCACCACUGAGCGCACAGACCGGAGAGAGAAGAGAAGACCAGCACCGAGUACGAGGGCUCCUGCAGGCAGGGCAGAGAUUGGGGUGAGGGGUUUUCACUGGGCAUCUAAGUACCGACCUUUCCAGUGCCCUCUGAAUAAGAAAUUUGUGGGAUGAAAGUAGUAUUUACUGAGCGCUUUUUUUUUUGAGACUGAGUCUCACUCUGCCGGCCAGGCUGGAGUGCAGUACUGAGCUCCUGUUAUACCCAGUAAUCUUGUUAUUCCUCCCAACAACCUUAAUAGAUGUCCGUUUCCAUUUUAAUGGGAAGAUGGAGAGCUUUAAGGACCUUGCUCAAGGUCGCAGAGUGAAGGGCAGCCCUCAGCCUAGGCUAUGACAGGGCACGGCGCUCGGAGACAUCACUGUUUCCCAAUUUUUUUUUUUGAGAGGGGAGUCUCGCUC